rnacentral:lncRNA from 1 species
GGGGUGUGUGUCCAAGGGAAGAGACCAAUCUGUCUAGAUCUGUUCUUUAAGGCUCACACAUACACACAUUUUUCCAUCGCUCCCUGCUUCACUAACAUGAGAGGGUGUGGUGGUCUGUAGAAAAAACAACUUCCUGUCUGCAAUCCCCGCAUGGCAUCGUAACGGAUGGGUUUACAUCACCAAACCCAAUCUCACUCUCAGAGAACAUCAGGAAAUGCUUCUCUCCAGCACAACAUCAGAGAACGAGCUUAUUUUUUUGAAGGAAAACUGUGAUAAGCCCUAAACACCCUCUCUGUCUCUCUCUCUCUAAAACUCACUGCUUCUGAGGAAUAGAAGGGACAGACUUUAUCACCAACAGAUUAAAAAUAGAGAAGGGAGAUCGAGGAAAGGCAUCCAGCCUCCUUCAUCGAGCAUUGGUCGAACACAUGAUCAUCAGAAGCGAGGGGACCAAACUGGAAUCUAACAAUCGUGGUCCUGAUGCUGCGGAGCACACAAGUGUGAGAAUCCAUGACUUCAGGAGGAAUCGAUGGCUUUGUGUGGCUGAUGUCCUCAGAGACUCUGUUCCUCAUUUGCGCUGGGAAUCCCAACACAGUCGGCCAGGAACCCAAAUCAAGACGAUACAAAGGUAAAUGGGAUGCUACAGUUUUAUCAGUGAUUUGAGUCUGUAGAACAUUUGACUGAAAAAAAAAAAAUAUAUAAUAUGUAU